rnacentral:lncRNA from 1 species
UAUUAUUAUACUUACGGUGUAAGACAGACCAAUUUUGACAGGUUAUGGCUACCCGGAAAUAAAUGAUGUUUGAUGUAACGGUUUGAAAUUUGGUAUAUAUUUGCCAGAUUUUUAUGUUAACAUCACUUCUGAAUCGGAAAGUCAAAACAUAUAAACCACCAGCAGCCAUGAAAUCCAUCGCAAUUGUCGCCCUUGCCCUCGCCUGUGUGCUCGGUCUUGCCACAGCCCAGUUCGGGUAUUACCCCGCUCAACAAAGCACAGGCGGAUUUGGAAAUGGAGGAUUUUUGGCCCUCAUUGGUUUACUGGUUCUCUUGUUCGCUCUCUUUGGAUUUAAUUCCGACAAAGGUGACACCACUAUCA